rnacentral:rRNA from 1 species
UGGGGAAUAUUGCACAAUGGGCGCAAGCCUGAUGCAGCAACGCCGCGUGAGGGAUGACGGCCUUCGGGUUGUAAACCUCUUUUAGCAGGGAAGAAGCGAAAGUGACGGUACCUGCAGAAAAAGCACCGGCUAACUACGUGCCAGCAGCCGCGGUAAUACGUAGGGUGCAAGCGUUGUCCGGAAUUAUUGGGCGUAAAGAGCUCGUAGGCGGUCUGUCGCGUCUGCUGUGAAAUCCCGAGGCUCAACCUCGGGCCUGCAGUGGGUACGGGCAGACUAGAGUGCGGUAGGGGAGAAUGGAACUCCUGGUGUAGCGGUGGAAUGCGCAGAUAUCAGGAAGAACACCGAUGGCGAAGGCAGUUCUCUGGGCCGUAACUGACGCUGAGGAGCGAAAGCGUGGGGAGCGAACAGGAUUAGAUACCCUGGUAGUCCACGCCGUAAACGUUGGGCGCUAGAUGUGGGGCACCAUUCCACGGUUUCCGUGUCGCAGCUAACGCAUUAAGCGCCCCGCCUGGGGAGUACGGCCGCAAGGCU